UUCGGGAACCCGGUGACAGGUGCUGCAUGGCUGUCGUCAGCUCGUGUCGUGAGGUGUUGGGUUAAGUCCCGCAACGAGCGCAACCCCUAUCUUUAGUUGCCAUCAUUGAGUUGGGCACUCUAAAGAGACUGCCGGUGUCAAACCGGAGGAAGGUGGGGAUGACGUCAAGUCCUCAUGGCCUUUAUGACCAGGGCUACACACGUACUACAAUGGCCGGUACAAAGGGCAGCGACACAGCGAUGUGAAGCGAAAUCCCGAAAAGCCGGUCUCAGUCCGGAUUGGAGUCUGCAACUCGACUCCAUGAAGUUGGAAUCGCUAGUAAUCGCGGAUCAGCACGCCGCGGUGAAUACGUUCCCGGGCCUU
rnacentral:rRNA from 1 species